AAAGAUUACAUUCGGCUUUUCAUAACGUCGAGUUUACCUAUGUACAAAUAUUAUGUUGCGUAUGUACAAAGGCAAGUGUCUUCGGGUAAUUUUAAUUUCCCAAAGGAAAUAACUUACGCCAAGUUUCGUCUCGCUAUCAUUGCCAUGAUACGGUUGCUUGAUAUUGAUUUUGACAAUGGGUUUUUGUGAAUUAUGUGGAAGAAUUCCCCAAAGGUGGUGAUGGAUGGAACAACUCUUGGAAUACAGAAAACUUUCUUACCAAAUAAUUUAAGAGAGUCUGAUACUGGAUUGCUAGAUGGAAGA